AUUGAACGCUGGCGGCAUGCCUUACACAUGCAAGUCGAACGGCAGCACGGGUGCUUGCACCUGGUGGCGAGUGGCGAACGGGUGAGUAAUACAUCGGAACGUACCUUAUCGUGGGGGAUAACGCAGCGAAAGCUGUGCUAAUACCGCAUACGCCCUGAGGGGGAAAGCGGGGGAUCGCAAGGCCUCGCGCGAUUAGAGCGGCCGAUGCCUGAUUAGCUUGUUGGUGGGGUAAAAGCCCACCAAGGCGACGAUCAGUAGCUGGUCUGAGAGGACGAUCAGCCACACUGGGACUGAGAAACGGCCCAGACUCCUACGGGAGGCAGCAGUGGGGAAUUUUGGACAAUGGGGGCAACCCUGAUCCAGCAAUGCCGCGUGAGUGAAGAAGGCCUUCGGGUUGUAAAGCUCUUUUGUCAGGGAAGAAACGCCGGCUCUAACACAGUCCGGGAAUGACGGUACCUGAAGAACAAGCACCGGCUAACUACGUGCCAGCCGCCGCCGUAA
rnacentral:rRNA from 1 species